GACGAACGCUGGCGGCGUGCUUAACACAUGCAAGUCGAACGGAAAGGCCCCUUUGGGGGUACUCGAGUGGCGAACGGGUGAGUAACACGUGAGUAACCUGCCCUUGACUUCGGGAUAACUUCAGGAAACUGGGGCUAAUACCGGAUAGGAAUCCUUGCUGCAUGGUGGGGGUUGGAAAGCUUCGGCGGUUUUGGAUGGACUCGCGGCUUAUCAGCUUGUUGGUGGGGUAGUGGCUUACCAAGGCUUUGACGGGUAGCCGGCCUGGGAGGGCGACCGGCCACAUUGGGACUGAGAUACGGCCCAGACUCCUACGGGAGGCAGCAGGGGGGAAUAUUGCACAAUGGGCGGAAGCCUGAUGCAGCAACGCCGCGUGCGGGAUGACGGCCUUCGGGUUGUAAACCGCUUUCAGCAGGGGCGAAGCUUGUGGUGACGGUACCUGCAGAAGAAGCACCGGCUAACUACGUG
rnacentral:rRNA from 1 species